rnacentral:rRNA from 1 species
UACGUAGGGUGCAAGCGUUUGUCCGGAAUUAUUGGGCGUAAAGAGCUUGUAGGCGGUUUGUCGCGUCUGCUGUGAAAUUUCGGGGCUCAACCCCGAACUUGCAGUGGGUACGGGGCAGACUAGAGUGUGGUAGGGGGAGACUGGAAUUCCUGGUGUAGCGGUGAAAUGCGCAGAUAAUCAGGAGGAACACCGAUGGGCGAAGGCAGGUCUCUGGGCCACUACUGACGUGAGAAGCGAAAAGCAUGGGGG